UACGAAGGGAGCUAGCGUUGUUCGGAAUCACUGGGCGUAAAGCGCACGUAGGCGGAUUUGUCAGUCAGGGGUGAAAUCCCGGGGCUCAACCUCGGAACUGCCUCUGAUACAGCAAGUCUUGAGUUCGAGAGAGGUGGGUGGAAUUCCUAGUGUAGAGGUGAAAUUCGUAGAUAUUAGGAAGAACACCGGUGGCGAAGGCGGCCCACUGGCUCGAUACUGACGCUGAGGUGCGAAAGCGUGGGGAGCAAACAGG
rnacentral:rRNA from 1 species